rnacentral:rRNA from 1 species
ACGUAGGACGCAAGCGUUAUCCGGAAUUACUGGGCGUAAAGGGCGUGUAGGCGGCCCGGUAAGUCAACCGUGAAAGCUCCCGGCUAAACUGGGAGAGGUCGGAUGAGACUGCCGAGCUAGAGGGUCGUAGAGGGGUGUGGAAUUCCGGGUGUAGUGGUGAAAUGCGUAGAUAUCGGGAGGAACACCGGUGGCGAAAGCGGCACCCUGGCAUUGGCCUGACGCUGAGGUGCGAAAGCGUGGGGAGCAAACGG